GUCUAUGGCCAUGCCACCCUGAACACGCCCGAUCCCGUCUGAUCUCAGGGGUCGGGCCUGGUUAGUACUUGGAUGGGAGGCCACCUAGGAAGACUGGGUGCUAUAGGCG
rnacentral:rRNA from 1 species